UAAAUUCUUUGGAUGAAGAAGCUGGUUUCUAGCAAAGAUACAAAGCUCCAACAUUGAAAUGUAGUUAACAAAAACAAUGUCACAUUUUGAACCUGAGAAAAGUCUUGUAUAUUAUUACUGUUCCACUUACAGACUGUAUUUGUAAUGUGC